CAAAUUUGAAAUCUGGCCCCCCCCGCGGGGGCCCGAGUUGUACUUUGGAGAGGAUGCUUUGGGCGCGGCGCCGGCCGAGUUCCCUGGAACGGGACGCCAGAGAGGGUGAGAGCCCCGUACGGCCGGACGCCCAGCCCGUGCAAAGCUCCUUCGACGAGUCGAGUAGUUUGGGAAUGCUGCUCAAAACGGGAGGUAAAUUUCUUCUAAAGCUAAAUACCGGCCAGAGACCGAUAGCGCACAAGUAGAGUGAUCGAAAGAUGAAAAGCACUUUGAAAAGAGGGUUAAACAGCACGUGAAAUUGUUGAAAGGGAAGCGCCUGGGGCCAGACGUGCGCCCCGCGGACCACCCGGCGCCCCGCGCGCCGGGGCACGCCGCGGGCGCGCAGGCCAGCAUCGGCUCCCCGCCAGGGGGACAAGGGCCGCGGGAACGUAGCUCCUCCGGGAGCGUUAUAGCCCGCGGCGCCAUGCCCCUGGGGGGGCCGAGGACCGCGCUCCCCGCGAGCAAGGAUGCUGGCGUAAUGGCCCCCAGCGACCCGUCUUGAAACACGGACCAAGGAGUCAAGCAUUGGGGCGAGUGUCUGGGUGCCAAACCCGCACGCGAAAUGAAAGUGAACGCA
rnacentral:rRNA from 1 species